AGCUCCAAUAGCGUAUAUUAAAGUUGUUGCAGUUAAAAAGCUCGUAGUUGGAUUUCUGGCUGGGUGAGCCGAACCUCAGUAUGAGUGUGCAGGUUCGCCCUACCAUCCUUCUGUUAAAUUUUAAGGCCUUCACGGUUUUUUUAUGGCUCAGAUAUUUUACCUUGAGAAAAUUAGAGUGUUUCAGGCAGGCUAGCGCCGGAAUACAUUAGCAUGGAAUAAUGGAAUAGGACUUUUGCCUCUUCUGUUGGUCUGAGGGGUUCGAGUAAUGAUUAAUAGGGAUAGUUGGGGGCAUUAGUACUUAACUGUCAGAGGUGAAAUUCUCGGAUUUGUUAAAGACUAACUUAUGCGAAAGCAUUUGCCAAGGAUGUUUUCA
rnacentral:rRNA from 1 species